ACAAUGGAGAGUUUGAUCCUGGCUCAGGAUGAACGCUAGCGGGAGGCUUAAUACAUGCAAGUCGUACGGUAACAGGGGAGCUUGCUCCUGCUGACGAGUGGCGGACGGGUGAGUAACGCGUACACGAUCUACCUAUAAGUCUGGGAUAGUCACUGGAAACGGUGAAUAAUAUCGGAUGUGGAUACCGAGCUGCAU
rnacentral:rRNA from 1 species